rnacentral:rRNA from 1 species
ACUUAAAUUGAAGAGUUUGAUCAUGGCUCAGAUUGAACGCUGGCGGCAGGCCUAACACAUGCAAGUCGAGCGGUAGCACAGAGAGCUUGCUCUCGGGUGACGAGCGGCGGACGGGUGAGUAAUGUCUGGGAAACUGCCUGAUGGAGGGGGAUAACUACUGGAAACGGUAGCUAAUACCGCAUAAUGUCGCAAGACCAAAGUGGGGGACCUUCGGGCCUCAUGCCAUCAGAUGUGCCCAGAUGGGAUUAGCUAGUAGGUGGGGUAACGGCUCACCUAGGCGACGAUCCCUAGCUGGUCUGAGAGGAUGACCAGCCACACUGGAACUGAGACACGGUCCAGACUCCUACGGGAGGCAGCAGUGG